UACGGAGGGUGCGAGCGUUGUUCGGAUUUAUUGGGCGUAAAGCGCGUGUAGGCGGUUUUUUAAGUCUGAUGUGAAAGCCCUGGGCUCAACCUGGGAAGUGCAUUGGAUACUGGGAGACUUGAAUACGGGAGAGGGCAGUGGAAUUCCUGGUGUAGGAGUGAAAUCCGUAGAUAUCAGGAGGAACACCGGUGGCGAAGGCGGCUGCCUGGACCGAUAUUGACGCGGAGACGCGAAAGCGUGGGUAGCAAACAGG
rnacentral:rRNA from 1 species